rnacentral:rRNA from 1 species
UAUCUCUGUAGAGUCUGCAUAUCAAUAAGCGGAGGAAAAGAAACUAACAAGGAUUCCCUUAGUAACGGCGAGUGAAGCGGGAAGAGCUCAAAUUUGAAAUCUUCAAGGUUUUACCUUGACGAAUUGUAGUUUAAAGAAGUGUUUUCUGUUGAAGUUUCGGUAAAAGUUCUUUGGAAUAGGACAUCAUAGAGGGUGAGAAUCCCGUAUUUGACCGUUAUUUUCAGCUGUGUGAUACACUUUCAAAGAGUCGGAUUGUUUGGGAAUGCAGUCCAAAAUGGGUGGUAAAUUUCAUCUAAAGCUAAAUAUUGGCGAGAGACCGAUAGCGAACAAGUACCGUGAGGGAAAGAUGAAAAGAACUUUGAAAAGAGAGUUAAACAGUACGUGAAAUCGUCAAAAGGGAAGCGUUUGACACCAGUGUUGUUUUUCCGAAAAUCAAUUACGAAUGGCUUGAUUCUGUGUUGUAUUGACCUUAUCAGCUUUCUUCACUUUUUUCGAGUCUUUCUUAAUGCACUUUUCGGUUAACAAGUCAACAUCAAUUUCUUUUGUUGUAAAAGAGUAUUCGGAAGGUGGCUUUCUUUUCGGAGAAAGUGUUUAUAGCCCCUAUACUUCUACAAUCGGAGAGAUUGAGGUCUGCAGCGUAGAUCCUUCGGGGUUAGAUACAUUUGUGCUAAGUUGUAGCUUUUCAUAGACAACUUGUUGACUAUGUUUAGUCAUGCGGCUUACUCGCUUAUGCUAUUUUACCUACGCUUAGGAUGUUGAAGAUGUAGCACAUCAU